rnacentral:tRNA from 1 species
GCCUGGGUAGCUCAGUCAGUUGGGCAUCCGACUGCGGCUCAGGUCACGAUGUCACGUUUGUGAGUUCGAGCCCCACUUCAGGCU